ACAGUCACACAUUAGAUACCCCGGUAGUCCCAGCCGUAAACGAUGCGCGUUAGGUGUACUGGUGACCACGAGUCACCGAGGUGCCGAAGGGAAACCGUGAAACGUGCCGCCUGGGAAGUACGGUCGCAAGGCUGAAACUUAAAGGAAUUGGCGGGGAGCACCACAACAGGUGGAGCCUGCGGUUUAAUUGGACUCAACGCCGGGAAGCUCACCGGAUAGGACAGCAGAAUGAUUGCCGGGCUGAAGACCCUGCAUGACUAGCUG
rnacentral:rRNA from 1 species